AUAAGGAAUAGCACAGAGGACCACAGGGGAAGGGAGGGAAAACUGGGAAGAAAUCAGAGGAGACAAACCAUGAGAGACUCUGAACUCUGGGAAACAAACUGAGGGUUACUGAAGGGAGGGGAUUGAGGGGAUAGGGCAACCAGAAGAAGGGUAUUAAGGAGGGCA